GUUGAACGCUGGCGGCAGGCCUAACACAUGCAAGUCGAACGAGUGGCGGACGGGUGCGUAAUGUCUGGGAAACUGCCUGAUGGAGGGGGAUAACUACUGGAAACGGUAGCUAAUACCGCAUACCAUCAGAUGUGCCCCGAUGGUAUUGGCUUGUUGGUGUGGUAACGGCUCACCAAGGCGACGAUCCCUAGCUGGUCUGAGAGGAUGACCAGCGAAACCGGACUGGAGACAUGGUCCAGACCCCUACGGGAGGCAGAAGUGGGGAAUAUUGCACAAUGGGCGCAAGCCGGAUGCAGCCAUGACGCGUGUAUGAAGAAGGCCGGCGGGUUGUAAAGUACGUUCAGCGGGGAGGCGUUACCCGCAGAAGAAGCACCGGCUAACUCCGUGCCAGCAGCCGCGGUAAUAC
rnacentral:rRNA from 1 species